UACAGAGGUCCCAAGCGUUGUUCGGAUUCACUGGGCGUAAAGGGUGCGUAGGUGGUUGGGUAAGUUUGAUGUGAAAUCUCCGGGCUUAACCCGGAAACUGCAUUGAGUACUAUUCGGCUGGAGGGUUGGAGGGGGGACUGGAAUUCUUGGUGUAGCAGUGAAAUGCGUAGAUAUCAAGAGGAACACCAGUGGCGAAGGCGAGUCCCUGGACAACUCCUGACACUGAGGCACGAAAGCUAGGGGAGCAAACAGG
rnacentral:rRNA from 1 species